UUCCGCAAUAGCUCAGUGGUAGAGCGCGCGACUGUUAAUCGCGUUGUCGUAGGUUCGAAUCCUACUUGCGGAGU
rnacentral:tRNA from 1 species